rnacentral:rRNA from 1 species
CACGUAGGGUGCGAGCGUUGUCCGGAAUUAUUGGGCGUAAAGAGCUCGUAGGCGGUGUGUCGCGUCGGCCGUGAAAACCUGCAGCUUAACUGUGGGCUUGCGGUCGAUACGGGCAUCACUGGAGUUCGGCAGGGGAGACUGGAAUUCCUGGUGUAGCGGUGAAAUGCGCAGAUAUCAGGAGGAACACCUAUGGCGAAGGCAGCUCGCUGGGACGGUACUGACGCUGGAGACGCGAAAGCGUGGGGAGCGAACAGG